GACGAACGCUGGCGGCGUGCUUAACACAUGCAAGUCGAACGGAAAGGCCCUGCUUGCAGGGUACUCUAGUGGCGAACGGGUGAGUAACACGUGGGUGAUCUGCCCUGCACUUCGGGAUACGCCUGGGAAACUGGGUCUAAUACCGGGUAGGAGCCGCUUUUAGUGUGAUGGUUGGAAAGCUUUUUCGGUGUAGGAUGAGCCCGCGGCCUAUCCGCUUGUUGGUGGGGUAAUGGCCUACCAAGGCGGCGACGGGUAGCCGGCCUGAGAGGGUGGACGGCCACAUUGGGACUGAGGGACGGCCCAGACUCCUACGGGGGGCAGCAGUGGGGAGUAUUGCAAAAUGGGCGCGAGCCUGAUGCGGCGGCGGCGCGUGGGGGAUGACGGCCUUCGGGUUGUAAACUCCUUUCGCUAGUGACGAAGCUUUUUGUGACGGUACCUAGAUAAGAAGCACCGGCUAACUACGUG
rnacentral:rRNA from 1 species